AAAAAAGAAGCAGCAAAAACUGAUUUCAGAAUUGACAAAAUAAGAACCAGUGAGCAAAUCAGCAUAUUAGACUGAUUUCUGAAAGAUCAUGUGACACUGAACACUGGAUUAAGGAUGCUGAAAAUUCAGCUUUGCGUCACAGGAAAUUAAAUAUAAAUUCUUAAUGUAUUUUAAAAUAUAAAACAGUUUUUUUUUAAUAAUAUAAUAGUAAUAAUAUUGCAUAAUAGUACUGUUUUACUGUGUAUUGUAUUGACGAGCAUAAGAGACUUCUUUCAUAAACAUUGACAAUAUUCAUUCAGUGUCACAAGAUCCUUCAGAAAUCUUCCUAAUAUGCUGAUUUGCUGCUCAAAUGUUGAAAACAUUGAAAAUAGGCUGCUUAACAGUUUUGUAGAAACUGUGAUCCUUUUUUUUCAGAAUUCUUUGAAUAGAAACCAUAACCUUUUUUUCUCAAAUUUUUGUGGUGUGGUGCUCUACGAGUUGCUAGCAUUUCUUCUAAACAGGCACGUUGCUGUAAGGUUUAACACGUGUGUUUACAGCAGAGCUCUGAGGACUCCAGCUGACAGCUUCUUCCAGCUGCGUGUUGCUGACGGCGUUCUGAUGCUGCUGUGUUCUUCUCCAGGAGGAUUAGACACUUCCUGAAUUAC
ensembl:lncRNA